GGUGGCCUCAGUCUCAGCAGUUCGCGUUGGCCUCUGAGGGGGACGGUGCGGCAUGCAGGCCCCAGAGGAUGACGCCAGGGGUGCCACGGACGGUGCAGGAGGCCUGGGCAACCAGCAGAGCCCCCAGACUCCUGAGGGCCGGAGUUCAGGCAGUCUAGAAGUCAAGGGUGACCACAGUGGCCCGGAAGGCCAGGGCGGCCCUGGCAGUGAAGGAGCAGUGGCCGAAGCUGCUGUUGCUCCUCCCCAAGUUGAGCAGGCACCGCGCGCCCUGGGACCUGCUGGAGAUGCAGCGCCCGUGGCUGUAGGGCCUGGAAGUGAGCUGCUGGAGUUCACACUUACUGUACCUUUCCGAUCCCCCCUGGAGGCAGACAUGGCCCGAAGAUCUCUGAUCCCAGUUGCCCGACGCCACCAAGGGGUGGUCCAGGUGUCUACAGUGAAUGGCAGCGCCCUGGCUGUUAGAUGGACUGCUGAAGACCCCAUUCUCUUCCGAACUGCCAUCAACUCCUUCCUUGAUCAUCUUUCCCUGGUGAUUCGGAACAUUCG